UACGUAGGGUGCAAGCGUUGUCCGGAAUUAUUGGGCGUAAAGAGCUCGUAGGCGGUCUGUCACGUCGGCUGUGAAAUCCCGAGGCUCAACCUCGGGUCUGCAGUCGAUACGGGCAAACUAGAGUAUUGCAGGGGAGACUGGAAUUCCUGGUGUAGCGGUGAAAUGCGCAGAUAUCAGGAGGAACACCGGUGGCGAAGGCGGGUCUCUGGGCAAUAACUGACGCUGAGGAGCGAAAGCGUGGGGAGCGAUCAGG
rnacentral:rRNA from 1 species